UGAGGAAUCUUCCGCAAUGGGCGAAAGCCUGACGGAGCAACGCCGCGUGAAUGAAGAAGGCCUUCGGGUCGUAAAGUUCUGUCUUUAGGGAAGAAGGCCCAUAAUGCGAAUAGUGUUGUGGGGUGACGGUACCUGAGGAGGAAGCUCCGGCUAACUACGUGCCAGCAGCCGCGGUAAUACGUAGGGAGCGAGCGUUGUCCGGAAUUACUGGGCGUAAAGGGCGCGUAGGCGGGUAUUUAAGUCAGAUGUGAAAGCUCCGGGCUUAACUUGGAGAGUGCAUUUGAAACUGGAUAUCUUGAGGGCAGGAGAGGAAAGUGGAAUUCCUAGUGUAGCGGUGGAAUGCGUAGAUAUUAGGAGGAACACCAGUGGCGAAGGCGACUUUCUGGACUGUACCUGACGCUGAGGCGCGAAAGCAUGGGGAGCAAACGGG
rnacentral:rRNA from 2 species